AAGAAAGAAGAAGUAAUGAAGAAAGAAGAGUCAAGGAAAAGGAUAAAAGAUGAUGAUUAGAAUAGGGAAGAGGUGGCAAUUACCGAAAAUUGUGGUUAUAUUCUUUAGUUCGAAAAUGUGUGCAAAUCUUGGUUGGAGAAAGAGAGCGUGCAGUGGGAACCAUCAUUCAUAUUCCAUCUCUUAUUGCUUCUUCUCACAAAAGAUGAAGCUGGGCGUGCCAUGCCAGGCGCACUCAUCAUCACCAUCACCAUCACCAUCUCCAUCAAAAGCACAUAUAUUCAUCAAAUCCACAACCCCAACACCAUUAAAAUUUUUCAACCCCACCAUAAUCAAACUCAGCAAAACCUUUUAACCUCUCCUAUCACUAUUGACUAUUGAGUUCACCACCUCUGUCUUCUUCUUCUUCUUCUUCUUUUUUCAUUUUUGGAACAGUCACCACUUCGAUCCAAUACACUACCUAUGUAUCUUUAUCGUGCCUUUUGCUUUGCCAGGUGUCGACCUUUGAUCCCUUUAUUAACCCAUUUUAUGGGGUAUAGGCCAUAGGUAAUAUUGCCAUCAGGCUGAUGUGUUUUGCUCCGCCUUUCAUUUAAAAGACCACGAAUAGAACUAUAAAUUUAUUCAGUGUUGUUGGAGUUUGAAGUUUGAACCUCGCUAAACCUGCAAAUUAAAAAAAAUUAUAAAUUAGUCUAUUAUUAGAUUUGAUUAUUAUAGUCAAUAACUAUACUAUAUAACUUAAAUUUGGAGGAUACUUUUAAAUUUAUUAAGCUGAAUUUGUUCUCAAUUUGUUAUUUUGGGUUUAGUUAUUAUUAGUAAACAUUUAAGAGAUCAAAUUUCAAUAUUU
rnacentral:lncRNA from 1 species